GGUCUUGACCCAGCGGAGUUCUCCGCGGCUCAUAGCCGCGGCCGAAUUGAAGCUGCGAACUCCGCGGUGCCGUCCGCCGCGUCGAGAUCG
rnacentral:tRNA from 1 species